rnacentral:lncRNA from 1 species
CUCCCCCCUCCCCACCGCACCUGGUUUACGACACUCGCGGCUUUACGACAUCACCUUCCUUACACCUAGAGGCGCUCGCUCUACGGCCGGAACCUUGUUGCUAAGGACAGGACGGUUUGCGGCAUCCUAGGACGCUGCGGAGUUUGAAUUGAGAGGAGAGGGAAAAGUUUUCCUCAGGUGUGGUUGGGUGAGAGAUUGGGUCGUUGGGACACUGUGGGGACGUGGUCAGGAGGACGACAGGCUGUCCGAGUGGGAAAGGUGAAGUUGGAGGCUCAGCGCCGUUCUGCCUCUGGACUGGCCACACCCGCCGCGGCUGUCUAGUACGCCGACGGGUCUGGCUGCUGCUGCUCUGGACCCGGUGCCCUCAGAGCGGCCCCUCUGAGCAUCCCGGGCGGCCGUCGGCCCUCCCUCUUCCUGAAGGUUGGGCUCUGCUCCCACGCCUCACUCGUCCACCCUCCGCACUCCGGGGCCGGGAGAGGGUCGAGCCCUGGGCAACCCCAGGGAGUUCCCAGGAUUGGGGAAGGGCAGGUUCGGGGAACCGGGAAGGAGCGAUUGGGGAACUCGGCCCUUGACGGCGAGGACACGCAGAGUCACGAGGGCGGCUACCUGACCCGCUCUGUCCUGUCCCUUCCCUCACACGGACGCACGGUUUUCCCCCUAGAGAGCCAGGAUGGGAAGUGACUUCAGUUAGGUCGAACUUAAGCUGGACCGAAAGAGGCAGAAGUUCCGCUUGCAGUAAAGCGGAAUGAGUAACCCCGCGCGGCGCCAGUCUCACUUCCUCGUCCGCCGGGCGCUCACCUGCUGUCACCUUGGCCUCCCCGCCCCUGCCUUCCUCCCGCCCUCCCGCUUUCCUCUCCCGGUAGACCGCCGAGCCGUAGGCGUCGUGACUUAGAGUUUAGGUAUCAAACAGGCCACGGCUUACUUAAAUGAGCGGUCCUCGCUGUGUAAGGACCGUCAGUCAAGAACCAGAUGUCUCCAGGCAGACAGAUUGCUGAUUUCAUUUUAAGUUCUUGACUUUGAACAAGUUCAGGGAUUUCUGAAAGACCACGUAUGUAGCACCACAAAUACUGAAAAAGUUGACUUCAGAGUGUGGGAUUGGGACUGAGGUUUCUCCCCCUGCUCCCUGCCCUUUUAACAUGAGGAAUUUUCUGAGAACAACUUUAUGGAAUAAAUGAGCUAUAUUCCAACUGAUGUUAUAGAUUAACAGUGUAAAAGCAAUCAAUAGAGAUAUCAAGCAAACUGAAACCGGACAUAUGGGACCGUUAGAAAUAAUCUAGUAAAUCACGUACCAGUGCUAGUAUAGUAGAUUCGUGCCUACGAUUUUUGUCAUGCCUAUGUCAGGAAUUUUUAUUAAAAUUGCGAUUUAAACACACCUCACCAGAAAAUGUAGACGAUCCAUUGAUGAAUCUCUUCAAAUCUCAACCGAAAUAACCUUACAGCUAAAGUCUGGUAAUUCAAAAUCAGUUUAAUCAUGAAUAUAAAUUAAAAGAUAUCCCAUUCGCUUUGGCAUUAAUCAGUGCAUGAAAUGGGAUUAUAAAUAUUCUUUGCUAUAUGUUAUGUAUCUGUACUCUUUCCCAAUGCCAAAACUAGAAUCAUUGUCCCUCAUGAUCAUUUUAAGUAUAGGCAUUUCUCAUUUCCCUCAAUACCAUAUUGUCGGAAACUUAAGCACAUCAAAAUGCUUGGUCCAAUUGUAAUUUUUCCUCUCUUUUUAAGGACUGUAUGAUAUUCUUCAAUUGUCUUCUGAAUCAGAUCAUAGACUAUCUUUUGCCAGAAAUUUUCUCCAAACUUUUUAAAAAUUGCUAACCUAAUUUCCAACCAGAAAAUCAAAAAAAAAUUAUAUAUAUAUAUAUAUAUAUAUAUAUAUAUAUAUAUAUAUAUAUAUAUAUUUCUAGCUCAAGCACAUUUUAUCUACCCUUAAACUUAGGAAUUAUUUAUUAUACAUGCCAUUUUUUCCUUCUGACUUGAAAUUUCUUACCAAAUUUCUUUCAUUGUUCAUCUUCACCUUAAAUAUCAUAAAGAGACAAAUAAAAUGAGGUAAAGUAAUUUCUUCCUUACUUUAGAGGUCACUAAUUUGGGCCAGAUAUUAUGUGAUCAGGUAACUUAUUAGGUUUUUGUUGUUGUUGUUAAUUUUUGUAUCCUCAGCAUUUAACAGAAGGCCUAGGCAUUAGUAGAUACUUAAUAAAUUAAUAUCUGCCCUUAUCAAAUCCAUCCUUAGAAACAGUUGAAUUCAUGACUGUGAAAGCCAUUUACUGUCUUAUCCAGUCUAAUUGCUCUUAAGUUUCUUCAUAAUCAUUUUCCCUAAAUGAUUAAUUCUACUCAGUCCUGUUUUUUACAUAUGUACAAAUAUUGAGAGGCCAAAUCUAAUAUAAAUUUUGUAAAAGUAUGUGUUAACUAUAUUUUAUAAAUUAAAUACUUGACUUAUAUACCUUAUAUAAUAUUCUUGAAAACAAUGAACUCUAGACUGAAGAGAAAGCAUACAAAGUAAAUUAAAAAAUGAAGUCCUGCUUUAAACCUGAUGUAUAUAUUAUAGUUGCUUAUCUCUUAAAUGGAAUUGAAGAUUUGACAACUUUAGAAUCACUUUAUAGAGAAAUUUAUUAAGACUUAGAUUAAAUUGAAGAGAGUAGGGGGCACUGAUAAGAGUGCCAUCAUACAGCAUUCAUUCAGUAAUGUAUUAAUGAAAUGUUAGCUUGCUUUCACCAAGCACUGUGAUUAUAUAUGCUAAAGGACAAGUAUUCUAAGAAUGAAUUAUCUUUUCCAAAUUUACUGAGAAAGAAUAAAUGGGUAAAAUAUUUUAGAAUUGAUUUUUUAUAUAUUUUUUUCAUAAUAUAUUUGUAGUUGUUUGCAAAUAAAUUGUGUACAAGAUUUAUGUAUAAGUUAAGAUAAAGUUCAACAUAAAAUUAUUUUCAACUCAAAAUUGUACAUAUUUCAUGGUGUUCCACAUCAAAGGUAUGAUUUUCAUGUACCUCACUUUCCAAACACAUUUAAGUACAGCAAUAUAUGAUUCUUUAAUCAUCAGAAUUUUAAAAUUGGUUAAUUUCAUGGAAAUCCUGAUAGCAUUGUUGGUGUUACUCCUCCAUUCAAUGCUUAUUUUCCUAGAGCUUUGAUGGGGAAAAGAAUACAUGCUAACUCUCAAAGUAUAGUCUAUACUUUGAGAUCUGUUCAAUCUUCUACUUAUUCCAUGGCUCAACUAAUAAGACUCUGAAUCUGAUUCACAGUGGUACCAAAGAGAACGAUGAUCAUUUCAUUGCUACAGUUUCACCAAAUUCUGCAGUCACAGAGUCAAGCAAGGAUGGUAUAGAACCAAGAGUUGUCCUCAGGACCCAUUUCAGCUUUUCAAAUAAAGCCUCCCAGGAGGUAAUAAAAAGGACAAAUGUGUUUAAGUCAAUGAAAUGUUGAUGGGGCUUUCUAUAUGGGGAGCAAGUUUUCAGGAUUAUUUUGAGUAUAAUGAGAUGUUAAGUAUAAAUAUUUUUAGGUAAAGAUGUAGGAUGUCAAUGAAAAUCCCAAAAAAGUAAAAUUAGUACUGAUCUUUUCCAUAAAAUCACAGUAAAGAGGAUGCUUUCAAAAAACUGCCUCCAUGAAACACAGUUUUUAUUAUUGAUAUUAUUUGUGAACAUGGAAUCCCUUUUUAAUAGUUAGAAUUAUAGAUAUAUAAGACAGCAGCAUGAAUAUUUUGAAUUCGAAUUAAUUUUAAGUAUUUUGACUUGAUAUCAGAGUGCCAGUAUCUGGUUUCUACUGUUUUUUUUUUGUUGUUGUUGUUGUUGUUGUUGUUUUGUUGUUGUUGUUUUUUACCAUGUAUUUCUUUUCUCUGACAUCUUGACUUCUUUUAGCUGCUGACUGGUUGUGAACAGAGUAUGGCUAUUUCUUUGACCUACAGCCCUGGCUUUCUGUAAUCCACAGAUUCUCAGGUAUAAUCACAACUGCUGUUCAGCCCUUGGACUGAAAACAAAAAGUGUGUGUGUGUGUGUGUGUGUGUGUGUGUGUGUGUGUGUGUGUAUAAACCUAUAGGCAGUGACAGGCUUUAUAUGUCCCACCCAUGUGUUAACAAAAUUGGUGAUAAAUACCCAGUGUGUUCAGUUAUACUACAACUUCAAAAUCUUGGUCAAACCUUUCUCAUUCUUUCAUCUCAUGCCUCUUUUUUUUUUUUGCUCACUCUCUUUAUCCUACUUAUAUAACUAGACCAGCCAUUGUGCCCCUCCCACUGGUUUACUUUUUGAUCAUUCUCUUAAUCUUUCUUUGUGCCAGGUCUGACACAGCUCUGUUCAGAUCUUUUCCCUUUCUCUUUUAGGUUAAAGAUUUUUAAAAUUGUUCCCAGCUCUAUAAGUGCUUUGCUUUUUCAUAUGAUGCUUGUUACCCACUCAGAAAAUUCAUUCCAUGCUUUGAGUGGCUGACUUCUGUGGACCACAUCAACCAAGUCCUUUGCCCUCUGGUUUCUGUUUGGUUUCAACCAAUUUGGGAGGCAUUGACAAAUGUUCAGAAAACAGAGAGGAAGAAAGAGUUGGGAUAUUCCACUCUUCUUCCUGCCUGAUUGUGGUUAUAGCUUCAUUCUACUCAGGCCCAUAGCUUUUGUCAGACACCUCUGUCCCAUGCCUAAAGACCUUGCAAAGUUCCAGAAACUCCUUCUUCAAUUUGUGCUUUAAGGUCUAUGGAUGGUAUUCAUUGGAUGCUUUAUCAUUCCUUCCCUUGAAACCUGCCCAUACCUUUGUAAAUAGUCUCUUCAUUAUAUUUUCUUCUGUUACUCUUUGAAUAAGUCAUCAGUCUCCUGCCAGGGCCCUAAGUAACAGGCAAACAGACAUUAAAAAUUAUUUUUAAUGCUAAUAUCAGCCAAGUAUUCCACUCCCAUGAAUUAUAGCCUUGAAGUUUGAGUAUGAUGUCUUCUAUCAUUCAUUCAACAUGUAUAUAUGCAUGUUUUAAUGUAUGUGUAUAUGCAUAAUCUAGUAAAUACAAUUACAUAGCAAUCGUUCAAUAACUUUGUGGAAUGAAGACCUCUGUCUUGAUUGAUCAAAAAUCUGGUCGGGUUUGCUUUAUGUUCUUAAAACAAUGAGAGAAAAAAAAAUCACAAUACCAUAGUAUUAUGGUUAUAGCUUCAUUCUACAAUUUCAAUACCUAGUUGUCCCCAAUUUUUUUCCUACUCUUUAAUGAUAGAACUGUCUACUCUUUAUUAUAUAGCUCCUUGAAAUAAUGUCUCUAUUUCCCUCUCUGCUACUAGAUGCUACUGUGCUAUUAGAUCUGACCAUGAGAUGUAAAAGUGGAAAUGGUGUGUGCAACAUUGAGGAAGUUCUUCAAAAGAAGAUAAUUCACCAUUCUUUCCUUCUUCCUGCUGGUUGAAAUUAGACCUGCUGGCUCAAGAUCCUUACAGAAGGCAGAGCAACAAGACUGAAAGAGCUGAGUCCUUGACACUGGAAUACCAAAAUCACCCUUGAAUUUCUACCUCCAUCCACUUUUACAUGGAGAGAAAUAAACUUUUAUUUAAGCUACAAUUAUCCUAGGUUUUCUGACAUAUACAGCCAAAAUUAUCUUGUUCAAUGUGGAUAUGUGUAUUAGCUUCCUACUGCUAAAGUAAAAAUAUUACCACAAGUUUAAUGGAUUAAAACAAAUGUAAUUCUAGAAGUCAGAGUACAAAAUGGGUCUCAUGAGACUAAAAUCAAGGUUUUGGCAAGAUGAGUCUACUUCAGAAAACUCUAGGGAGAGUAUGUUACUUUGCCUUUUCCAGCUCCUAGAGGCUGCUCACAUUCCUUGGCUCUUUAGCAUCUUCUUCCAUCUUCAAAGCCAGCAACAUCUGGCAGUCAUAUUGCCAGCUCACUGUUUCUUUUAUACUGCCUCCCUCUUCCACAUAAAAAGGACUUUGCUAUUCAGUUGAACCCACCCAGAUAAUCAGGACAUCUUCCCAUUUUAAGAUCAACUGAUUAGCAAGCUUAAUUCCAUCUGCAAUUUUAAUUCCCCCUUGUGAUAUAACCUAACAUUCACAGGGUUGGGUGAGUAAGACAUGAACACCUUUGGGGGCCACUGUUCUGCCUACUACAGUGUACAGAUUUUUAAGUUUUGUGAUUGAGAAAUACGUUUUUACUUUAUGAUUUAUCUUUAAUACAUUUACAACUUAUAACCCUAUGCUAAUUAGUCAUUACUCUUUAUAGAACAUUUAGCAUUGUGCCCCAUAAUUUUUAAAUUUUAUAUAUGUGAAGGACAGGUAGUCUAAAAAUGAAUUAUAAUCUUUUCUAAAUUCACAGGGAAAGUGUAAGUAGGAUAUUUUCAGUAUUGAAUUUUUCUUCAUAUUUUUAAUAAUUUGCUUGCAGUUAUUUACUUCUCAUACAAGAUUCCAUGUAAGUUAAGAUAAAGUUCAAUAUAGAAUUAUUUUCAAGUGUAAAUUGUACGUAUUUCCUGGUGUUCCUCACUUUCCAAACACAUUUGAGUACAGCACUUUAUGAUCCUCUAAUCGUCAAAAAUUUUAAAUUGGUUAAUUUCAUGGAAAUCCAAAUAGUAUGUUGGUGUUACUCCUUCAUUCAAUGCCUAUUUUCAAUCCUAAAGCUUUAAUGGGGUGGGGGUGAGAGAAUUAAAAGCUAGAAGUCACAGAGUAUGCAAAUCUUAAGGAUGGAACUAUAGUGCUUUUGGGGUGCAUAUCCAAUAGAAUUAAGCCCCACAUAGCUAAUAAUUCCCCCAUACUUUAGUUUGUCCAUGCCACUGAUAUAGCAUUUAUCCCUAUAUGUGGACUUUUGUUGAGAGCCACUGCCACAUCAGGAUGGUGCCUGGCAUUUUGCCAGAAGGAGUGGUUGGGAGGUGACGCCAGUGAGCCAUUAAGAUGAUAAUAAUUAAGUUAAGCUGUGUAUAAUUAUUAAGAUAAUGACUGAUUGCUGUAACUGGAUGAUGCUAAAGUGAAACAAGCUGUGUAUUCAGUUGGUAUAUAAACCUCUGCUGUCCAGCAAUAAGGCGGUUCCUGCUACCUCCGGCGCCCGCUACUUUUGAGUUCCCGUUGGUUCUCGCAGAGUUUCCUUGGAGUUAUGGAGAGUUCCCGUGGGGUUCGGGCAAUAAAGUAGUUCCUGUUUGAACCUACAAGUGGCUAGUGGCCUCUCAGGUAUUUGUGCCCAGCCAGACUGCAGGCAGUUUUUGUUUUGUUUACAUCAGGCCCCUCUCCUAAUUAUCUUUGGGUUUCUGUUACUGAAAGCAGUGCCCGUCCAAAACAUUCUUAAUAAUUAUGGAAAAGAGGGAAGGUUUCUUGUCAUUGAUGAAUCAUUACAGCACAGAAAUUUUGUGAAGAGCAAAUAGAAUAGGGUUUGCGGACUAUACCAUAUGUUAUCUGGCACUUGGUAAACAGUACAUGAAAGACAACAAAAAAUAAAUAAAUUCUUAGGCAAAGAUUAAAGUCAGAUGUAAAGGACAUAAUCACUAGAAUUCUUAUAUAGUGUCUUUCUCUUCAAAGCAAAAAAGAUAAUCUUUAUCCCUGAAAUUGUCAUUUAAAGCACAGGUAUAACUAAAGAACAAAAGAAAGAGAUGAUGUUAACAUGUUUUGCUUAGCAUUAGUUGGAAUAUUGUCUAAAAAUGUUAGCUUACCUUAGCUAUAUUAUUUAAGGAACUGUCUCUACAAUAAGUACACUUCCAACCCUAGGAAAAAUAACACUAUUUGCAAUGCAAUUAGCUAGCCUGUGGCACUUGCUAUUCUUAUACAGAUCAUUUUUAAAAUGCAAGUAAAGAUUAUGAAAGAAAUAUAAAAAUUGCCUUAGUGUUGUUUCUUGAUUUGCAGAUACCUAUUUGAACUGUAGAAGCAAAAAGUAGGAAAUUAUCAUAAAGAUAUUGGUGAUUUUUUUUUCAUAGAAUCCAAAAGUAAGAAUGAAGUCAGGUCUCCCAAAUGAAGAAUCAUGAAUACCUCUAAAUGUACAGGUGGUGCCUCUCCAUUUUUUGGCUCUUUGUGUUUCUGUUCCAUUUUGUUGGAAGGCCUACUGUUGUGCAUGAAGGUAGUGUGAGGAGACAGAUAAAUACCUGCUAUAACCAUUCCAUAGUGCUUAGAGAAAAAAAUCCUACAUCGAAAGUGUUAGUCAAUAAAAAUUCUGGUUUUUUUGUAGUUACAAUAGUCAGUUUUUCCAUAUACAUAUAAGAACAACAUAAUUUAGUAAUUUCCUUUAACCUACAUCCAUUUUCCUACAUAGCUACAUAACCUUUAUAUUUGUCCUUUUUUACAUGAUUGUAACAUUCAAGUUGAUAAGUGUAAUUUACUAAGCCAGGGUUCAUAUUGUUGAAAGUUUCAUUAUUUUUGCUUUAUAAAGAAUAAACACUAUUAUAAUAAAGUUUUGUUUUUAUUUGAUUUUUUAUAAUUUCCUGAGAAUACUCUCAAAAUUGGAAAUACUUACUAGAUGGAAAUGACCAUAUUUGUCUUUUUAAACAUAUUGUCCGCUUAUUUUUUAAAAGGAUUACACAAACAUGAUGUCACUCAAGAUUUAUGAGUUUGACCAUGAUUUAAAAUUUCCCAAAAUUGCUAGCUUAUUCAGACAGACUGAAAACAUUUGAAUUCCCUGAUAUUUUAGAAGAGGGGUAUAGGAAAACACAAGUGCAACAAGAACAUGUAUAAAUAUGUAAUAAGUUCCAUACUGGAUUAAAUCAAUGAUCACUCCAGCUCUGGCUCUUAAGACCUAGACAGGCUCUUUUAUGUUAAAUUCACGUUUAUCUGGUUUUUAAAAACAUUCCUUUCUCUUUUUGCAAAGGACUGGCUUUGGGUUUAUAACCAGUUUUGUCUCCGAAAUUAUCUACCUAGGCUUUACUCAAGUGCAAUUGAAUUUAAUCACAUUUUUCUUUUAAGAGUAAUUUAUAAGGUGUUCUUAUAGAUCAUAAAAAUGCUCACAAAGAGCCAAAUUGUUUUAUUUCCAGCUUUGAACUUUUUGUAUUUUGUUAUAAAGUUUAGGGACUUACAUUGUUUCACUUCUUAAUUAAAGGUAAAGUCAUUCCUAGUUAAAAUAGUUCAUAAAAUGUAUACAUUUGCAAUCAGCUUUAGUCAACAUAUUUUGGUAUUACAACUAACAAUUUAUAUUAAUGUUGUAAAUAUUUGUGGAAUUUUGUUAUUUUCACACUGAAUUAAUUACUGUCAUUGAAUAAGUACCUUCUCUCUUUAGUAGCUCCAUUUAUUUCCUGAAUCUACCCAUUGAUACUGUGCUUUUGAUUUAUAAAAUCACCAAUAAAUAUGCAGCUUUUAAUAAAUGUCCAUUUUCCAUAUAAAAUAUGGAAAGUCUCCCAGCAGAUAUUUUCAUUAGCUAGCUGGUGAUAUUUUCGGUAAACGCCAAAAGGUAAUUUAUGAAUAUAUAAAACAUUAAAUGUGUAACAACUAUAACAGAAAGGGUUAGUAGAAUAAGUGAUUAAUAUAUUGUCUACUAACAGAAAAAAUUAAAAACACUGACAUUAUGAGAAAAUAUAAUUAGAAUUUUGAGCUGAUCAAGUAAAUUUAUUUCAGUUCUCUUAUUUUCUAUGUCCAUGUAAGACCUAGUAAAUUAAGAAAAUGUAUAGUUUGAAUUCUAUGUUUCUCUUUUUUUCUUUAUUACCUAGUUUACUUAUAUUUUUGUCUUUUCCUUGAACUCACUCUCUCUAGACUUUGGGUAUGUUAUGGGCAUAAAUCAAACUACUAAAACCCACUUUUGAAUGUUGAUAUUGGUUUCAAAGCAUGUUCUUUUUCCAUCUGCUCCCCUCUGAUUGCUACAAAGCUGACCAAAAGGCUAUCAACCAGACAAAAGCAUUUGAUGCAAGAAUUUGACAACCUAUUAGCUAGAAAACUCUUCCCUGAAUAAUUUAAAUUUUUUGAAGCCUUUCUCCUAUAUAUAAAAUUGUUCUAUAGUUCUAUUCAUUUUUGCAUUCCUCCUUUUUAUAGCUUUGGAAAACACAGAUCAGUGUUUCAGCAGCAAAGGACAUCAUGAUGCCAAAUAGGAAACAAGGACUUGGAAUAUGCUUUGGACCUCUUAAUUCCAGGCCACUUGAUAGCAGAUACAGUUCAUUACACAAGAAAAUUGCUUGAUCUUGGGAAAAGAGGGUGCUGUAGGUGAGGGAAAAUGAGUUAGUCACCAAUACAGUUCACCUUGCAGUUCUGUCGUUGAUCUAACUAGAGAAUGAUUGCUGCCAUGUUCCACACAAAGAGCAAAAGCUUCUUUCCACUAUAAGAUGGUGAAUCAUACCUCUCCUCUGUUUAGAUUCUAGGGAAAAAGAGGAUCCUUCCCCACUCCUUUUACCCCUCCUAAUCUUCCCUAUAUUCUUCAUCACAACAAAUCCCAUGUUUAAAUUCUGUUGAACAUGAUAAACAAAAUCAUACCCAGGAAUCUUCAGUACAAGAUUGUGAAGCAUAAAAAUAUGUAAAUUAAAAAAAAUACAACCAG